UACGGAGGGGCUAGCGUUGUUCGGAAUUACUGGGCGUAAAGCGCGCGUAGGCGGACCUGCAAGUCGGGGGUGAAAGCCCGAGGCUCAACCUCGGAACUGCCUUCGAUACUGCGGGUCUCGAGUCCGGGAGAGGUGAGUGGAAUUCCGUAGUGUAGAGGUGAAAUUCGUAGAUAUUAGGAAGAACACCAGUGGCGAAGGCGGCUCACUGGCCCGGUACUGACGCUGAGGCGCGGAAAGCGUGGGGAGCAAACAGGG
rnacentral:rRNA from 1 species